UACGUAGGGUGCGAGCGUUGUCCGGAAUUAUUGGGCGUAAAGAGCUCGUAGGCGGUUUGUCGCGUCGGCCGUGAAAUCUCCACGCUUAACGUGGAGCGUGCGGUCGAUACGGGCAGACUUGAGUUCGGUAGGGGAGACUGGAAUUCCUGGUGUAGCGGUGAAAUGCGCAGAUAUCAGGAGGAACACCGGUGGCGAAGGCGGGUCUCUGGGCCGAUACUGACGCUCAUGCACGAAAGCGUGGGGAGCAAACAGG
rnacentral:rRNA from 1 species